rnacentral:rRNA from 1 species
GAGUUUGAUCCUGGCUCAGGAUGAACGCUGGCGGCGUGCCUAAUACAUGCAAGUCGAGCGAACAGACGAGGAGCUUGCUCCUCUGACGUUAGCGGCGGACGGGUGAGUAACACGUGGAUAACCUACCUAUAAGACUGGGAUAACUUCGGGAAACCGGAGCUAAUACCGGAUAAUAUAUUGAACCGCAUGGUUCAAUAGUGAAAGACGGUUUUGCUGUCACUUAUAGAUGGAUCCGCGCCGCAUUAGCUAGUUGGUAAGGUAACGGCUUACCAAGGCAACGAUGCGUAGCCGACCUGAGAGGGUGAUCGGCCACACUGGAACUGAGACACGGUCCAGACUCCUACGGGAGGCAGCAGUAGGGAAUCUUCCGCAAUGGGCGAAAGCCUGACGGAGCAACGCCGCGUGAGUGAUGAAGGUCUUCGGAUCGUAAAACUCUGUUAUUAGGGAAGAACAAAUGUGUAAGUAACUAUGCACGUCUCGACGGUACCUAAUCAGAAAGCACGGCUAACUACGUGCCAG